GUAUGGCGACUGACAGAAGAGAAAAAUGAAUAAAAAAUAUAAAAUACCAUAAACAAUGACGGCUGCAGAUUCAAAUGUCAUUCAAGUCACCACUCUAGCAAGAAAAGAGAAACGCUCAUAAAAAAAGAAAUGGCCAAUUAAAAAAAAAGUCGGGGAAAAGUUGGAAUAAAUAAAAAAAUUCAGCAACAAAUUACAAAUUGUGAAAACCAAUUGUGCACAAAAGCGAGAAAUUAGAAAAAAAACAACACAAAUUGAAUUCAUUUUCAGUAAUUACCCCUCAGCAAAACUUUAGCUGUCAUGGCACAGGAAACAAUUGAAGCAACCGCAACAAAUAAAAAGAUUUUUUUGAUAGAACACCAAUCUGGCCGAUGACGAAGCGUAUAAAUAUGAUUAAAAAUAACUUAAAAAUUUAAUUUUUUCAAGUCAAUGGUUUCUGCCAUAAAGACAUCUUAAGGGGGAGCUUGGGCGACGAAAUCUAUGAUGAAAGUGAAAUAACAUGCGGUCUGGCCAAAAUUAAUUUUAAUAACGUCCAACGGUAAAGCAUUCAAGAUGUUAUUAUUCUGGUUUUUGAUCGAUGAACAAGUUUAUAAAAACAACAUUAAAACUACAAUAAACGUUUUAACUUUGGCAAGGCCGAACUUUGGAUACAUAAA
rnacentral:sRNA from 1 species